GACGAACGCUGGCGGCGUGCUUAACACAUGCAAGUCGAACGGUAAGGCCCUUCGGGGUACACGAGUGGCGAACGGGUGAGUAACACGUGGAUGAUCUGCCCUGCACUUCGGGAUAAGCCUGGGAAACUGGGUCUAAUACCGGAUAGGACCCUGGGAUGCAUGUCCUGGGGUGGAAAGCUUUUGCGGUGUGGGAUGGGCCCGCGGCCUAUCAGCUUGUUGGUGGGGUGAUGGCCUACCAAGGCGACGACGGGUAGCCGGCCUGAGAGGGCGACCGGCCACACUGGGACUGAGAUACGGCCCAGACUCCUACGGGAGGCAGCAGUGGGGAAUAUUGCACAAUGGGCGCAAGCCUGAUGCAGCGACGCCGCGUGAGGGAUGACGGCCUUCGGGUUGUAAACCUCUUUCAGCACCGACGAAGCGCAAGUGACGGUAGGUGCAGAAGAAGGACCGGCCAACUACGUGCCAGCAGCCGCGGUAA
rnacentral:rRNA from 1 species